rfam:Alligator mississippiensis ScZkoYb_114, whole genome shotgun sequence.
UGGUUCAGUGGUAGAAUCCUUGUCUACCGCACAGGAGACCUGGGUUCAAUUCCUAG